rnacentral:rRNA from 1 species
UACAGAGGGUGCAAGCGUUGUCCGGAUUCAUUGGGCGUAAAGAGCUCGUAGGCGGCUUGGCAAGUCGGGUGUGAAAACUCCAGGCUCAACCUGGAGACGCCACCCGAUACUGCCAUGGCUAGAGUCCGGUAGGGGACCACGGAAUUCCUGGUGUAGCGGUGAAAUGCGCAGAUAUCAGGAGGAACACCGGUGGCGAAGGCGGUGGUCUGGGCCGGAACUGACGCUGAGGAGCGAAAGCGUGGGGAGCGAACAGG